rnacentral:rRNA from 1 species
UGGGGAAUUUUGGACAAUGGGCGAAAGCCUGAUCCAGCAAUGCCGCGUGUGUGAAGAAGGCCUUCGGGUUGUAAAGCACUUUUGUCCGGAAAGAAAUGGCUCUGGUUAAUACCUGGGGUCGAUGACGGUACCGGAAGAAUAAGGACCGGCUAACUACGUGCCAGCAGCCGCGGUAAUACGUAGGGUCCAAGCGUUAAUCGGAAUUACUGGGCGUAAAGCGUGCGCAGGCGGUUGUGCAAGACCGAUGUGAAAUCCCCGAGCUUAACUUGGGAAUUGCAUUGGUGACUGCACGGCUAGAGUGUGUCAGAGGGGGGUAGAAUUCCACGUGUAGCAGUGAAAUGCGUAGAGAUGUUGAGGAAUACCGAUGGCGAAGGCAGCCCCCUGGGAUAACACUGACGCUCAUGCACGAAAGCGUGGGGAGCAAACAGG